UGACACAUAGUUGGCACUGGCAAUGCACA
rnacentral:piRNA from 1 species